rnacentral:rRNA from 1 species
CAAGUCGAGCGGUAGCACAGAGAGCUUGCUCUCGGGUGACGAGCGGCGGACGGGUGAGUAAUGUCUGGGAAACUGCCUGAUGGAGGGGGAUAACUACUGGAAACGGUAGCUAAUACCGCAUAACGUCGCAAGACCAAAGUGGGGGACCUUCGGGCCUCAUGCCAUCAGAUGUGCCCAGAUGGGAUUAGCUAGUAGGUGGGGUAAUGGCUCACCUAGGCGACGAUCCCUAGCUGGUCUGAGAGGAUGACCAGCCACACUGGAACUGAGACACGGUCCAGACUCCUACGGGAGGCAGCAGUGGGGAAUAUUGCACAAUGGGCGCAAGCCUGAUGCAGCCAUGCCGCGUGUAUGAAGAAGGCCUUCGGGUUGUAAAGUACUUUCAGCGAGGAGGAAGGCAUUAAGGUUAAUAACCUUGGCGAUUGACGUUACUCGCAGAAGAAGCACCGGCUAACUCCGUGCCAGCAGCCGCGGUAAUACGGAGGGUGCAAGCGUUGAUCGGAAUUACUGGGCGUAAAGCGCACGCAGGCGGUCUGUCAAGUCGGAUGUGAAAUCCCCGGGCUCAACCUGGGAACUGCAUUCGAAACUGGCAGGCUAGAGUCUUGUAGAGGGGGGUAGAAUUCCAGGUGUAGCGGUGAAAUGCGUAGAGAUCUGGAGGAAUACCGGUGGCGAAGGCGGCCCCCUGGACAAAGACUGACGCUCAGGUGCGAAAGCGUGGGGAGCAAACA